GUGGAAAUUGGCCAAUGUUACACCUUUACCAAAAACAGUUGCCAUUGAAGACUUCAAUAAAGAUCUAAGACCAAUCUCAUUAACACCAACUUUAUCCAAGAUUGCUGAGUCAUGCAUCAUCGAGCAGGAAAUAAGACCUACGCUGCUGAAAGCAAUGGAUCCAAAUAAUUUGGUUUCGUGCCCAAUUCAUGUACUACUUUUGCUUUAAUUUCGAUGUUACAUCGCUGGUUGGAAAACACGGAUGGCACUGGUUCGCGCGUCAGGGUUGCACUUCUGGAUUACAGAAAAGCAUUUGACUUAGUGGACCACAAUAUUUUAAUUGCCAAACUUUUUAGCCUUGGAGUCAAACCGACAGUUGUAAAUUGGAUUGCUGACUUUCUACGUGGGAGAUCACAGCGUCUAAAGCUUAAUUCGGAUUGCUUUUCAAUUUCCAAAAUAGUUCCAGCUGGAAUUCUGCAAGGUACUAAGAUUGGUCCUUGGCUAUUUUUAGCAAUGAUAAAUGAUUUAGCG